CCCCUAGAUGUUCUGGGCCGCACGCGCGCUACACUGAACAGUUCAACAAGUCUUAACCUUGGCCGAGAGGUCUGGGUAAUCUUUGAACGCUGUUCGUGAUUGGGAUAGACCUUUGCAAUUAUGGGUCUUCAACGAGGAAUUCCUAGUAAACGCAAGUCAUCAGCUUGCAUUGAUUACGUCCCUGCCCUUUGUACACACCGCCCGUCGCACCUACCGAUUGAAUGGUCCGGUGAAAUCUCGGGACGGCGGCUUGGUCGCUUGCGUCCGACUGCUGAAACUUGAUUAAACCAUAUCAUUUAGAGGAAGGUGAAGUCGUANCA
rnacentral:rRNA from 1 species